rnacentral:rRNA from 1 species
GACGGACGCUGGCGGCGUGCUUAACACAUGCAAGUCGAACAGAAAGGCCCUGCUUUUGUGGGGUGCUCGAGUGGCGAACGGGUGAGUAACACGUGAGUAACCUGCCCUUGACUUUGGGAUAACUUCAGGAAACUGGGGCUAAUACCGGAUAGGAGCUCCUGCUGCAUGGUGGGGGUUGGAAAGUUUCGGCGGUUGGGGAUGGACUCGCGGGUUAUCAGCUUGUUGGUGGGGUAGUGGCUUACCAAGGCUUUGACGGGUAGCCGGCCUGAGAGGGUGACCGGCCACAUGGGGACUGAGAUACGGCGCAGACUGCUACGGGAGGCAGCAGUGGGGAAUAUUGCACAAUGGGCGGAAGCCUGAUGCAGCAACGCCGCGUGCGGGAUGACGGCCUUCGGGUUGUAAACCGCUUUCGCCGGUGACGAAGCGUGAGUGACGGUAAUGGGUAAAGAAGCACCGGCUAACUACGUG